rnacentral:rRNA from 1 species
UACGUAGGUGGCAAGCGUUGUCCGGAUUUACUGGGCGUAAAGGGCGCGUAGGCGGCGUGACAAGUCACUUGUGAAAUCUCCGGGCUUAACUCGGAACGGUCAAGUGAUACUGUCGUGCUAGAGUACAGAAGGGGCAACUGGAAUUCCCAGUGUAGAGGUGAAAUUCGUAGAUAUUGGGAAGAACACCGGUGGCGAAGGCGGCGACCUGGUCCGAUACUGACGCUGAGGCGCGAAAGCGUGGGGAGCAAACAGG